rnacentral:rRNA from 1 species
ACGAACGCUGGCGGCGUGCUUCACCCAUGCAAGUCGCACGGAAAGGCCCUGCUUUUGUGGGGUGCUCGAGUGCGAACGGGUGAGUAACACGUGAGUAACCUGCCCUUGACUUUGGGAUAACUUCAGGAAACUGGGGCUAAUACCGGAUAGGAGCUCCUGCUGCAUGGUGGGGGUUGGAAAGUUUCGGCGGUUGGGGAUGGACUCGCGGCUUAUCAGCUUGUUGGUGGGGUAGUGGCUUACCAAGGCUUUGACGGGUAGCCGGCCUGAGAGGGUGACCGGCCACAUUGGGACUGAGAUACGGCCCAGACUCCUACGGGAGGCAGCAGUGGGGAAUAUUGCACAAUGGGCGGAAGCCUGAUGCAGCAACGCCGCGUGCGGGAUGACGGCCUUCGGGUUGUAAACCGCUUUCGCCUGUGACGAAGCGUGAGUGACGGUAAUGGGUAAAGAAGCACCGGCUAACUACGUG